rnacentral:rRNA from 1 species
GACGAACGCUGGCGGCGUGCUUAACACAUGCAAGUCGAACGGAAAGGCCCUGCUUUUGUGGGGUGCUCGAGUGGCGAACGGGUGAGUAACACGUGAGUAACCUGCCCUUGACUUUGGGAUAACUUCAGGAAACUGGGGUUAAUACCGGAUAGGAGCUCCUGCUGCAUGGUGGGGGUUGGACAGUUUCGGCGGUUGGGGAUUGACUCGCGGCUUAUCAGCUUGUUGGUGGGGUAGUGGCUUACCAAGGCUUUGACGGGUAGCCGGCCUGAGAGGGUGACCGGCCACAUUGGGACUGUGAUACGGCCCGGAGCCGUACGGGAGGCAGCAGUGUGGAAUAUUGCACAAUGGGCCGAAGCCUGGUGCAGCAAGGCCGCGUUCGGGAUGACGGCCUUCGGGUUGUAAACCGCUUUCGCCUGUGCCGAAGCGUGAGUGACGGUAAUGGGUAAAGAAGCACCGGCUAACUACGUG